UACAGAGGUCCCGAGCGUUGUUCGGAUUCACUGGGCGUAAAGGGUGCGCAGGUGGGUUUGCAAGUUUGAUGUGAAAGCCCCGGGCUUAACCCGGGAAUGGCAUUGAAUACUGCGGAUCUGGAGGAUUGGAGGGGGGACUUGGAAUUCUUGGGUGUAGCAGUUGAAAUGCGUAGAUAUCAAGAGGAACACCAGUGGCGAAGGCGAGUCCCUGGACAAUACCUGACCACUGGAGGCAACGAAAAGCCAAGGGAGCAAACAGGA
rnacentral:rRNA from 1 species